GAUGAACGCUGCGGCGCGCCUAACACAUGCAAGUCGAACGGUUAAAGCACCUUUUAGGUGUGUAUAAAGUGGCGAACGGCUGAGUAACACGUGGGCAACCUGCCCUCCUCUUGGGGAUAGCCUCGGGAAACCGAGGAUAAUACCCGAUACUUCAAUGUGGCCGCAUGACGACAUUGAGAAAGCUUUUGCGGAGAAGGAUGGGCCCGCGGCCUGUUAGCUUGUUGGUGGGGUAGAGGCCUACCAAGGCAAUGAUGGGUAGCUGGGUUGAGAGACCGACCAGCCAGAUUGGGACUGAGACACGGCCCAGACUCCUACGGGAGGCAGCAGUGGGGAAUCUUGCACAAUGGGCGAAAGCCUGAUGCAGCGACGCCGCGUGCGGGACGAAGGCCUUCGGGUUGUAAACCACUUUCAGCAGGGACGAGGCGAAAGUGACGGUACCUGCAGAAGAAGCCCGGCUAA
rnacentral:rRNA from 2 species